rnacentral:rRNA from 1 species
AGUGGCAGACGGGUGAGUAACGCGUGGGAACGUGCCCCUCGGUUCGGAAUAACUCUGGGAAACUAGAGCUAAUGCCGGAUACGUGCGAGAGCAGAAAGAUUUAUCGCCGAAGGAUCGGCCCGCGUCUGAUUAGCUAGUUGGUGGGGUAAUGGCCCACCAAGGCGACGAUCUGUAGCUGGUCUGAGAGGACGACCAGCCACACUGGAACUGAGACACGGUCCAG